UUUGAACUUCAUUCCAGAAAAAAGAGAACUCAUCUUUCGCUGGCGAAUUGCCGCACCUCUUCCUUUUCUCUCCGUGACGCCAUCUCCAUUUGAGAAGAUUUCAUUUUUGAAGAUGUCAAUUUUUAAUCACCUUUUAGGCGAUACCAAAAUUGAAGACUCAGUAUUAGUGACACAUAUCUCUGCUUCUUUUUCAGGUCUGAAGUUGCUUGCAUGAAGUAUUUUUAUUGUAGCCAUUCAUUAAGAUAGCAUAGCAUAGCAUUGUAGAUCUGUUUCAGUGCAUCAGAGACUGAAAUUGACUCACAAAGUUUGACAAAAAUGACAGAGAUAUUCGGUUACACAACCUGCAGACAGUUAUCUCAGAUGUUUUUGGCCAUUAUCUUCUUUCAUGGUUCUGAAUACAUUCUAGCAGUUGCCUUUCAUGGGAAAUCAAAUGUUACACUCAAGUCACUUCUGAUCAGCAAGAACUAUCUUCUGGCGAUGAUAUUAUCAUUGCUUGAAUACUUCAUUGAAAUUUCUUUAUUUCCUGCAUUGAAGGAAUAUUGGUGGGUGACUAACUUAGGCCUUGCACUUGUCUUAAUUGGGGAACUCAUUCGGAAAAUAGCAAUUAUAACAGCUGGGCGGGCCUUCACACAUGUUAUCAAGAUUUAUCAUGAGGAGCAUCACAAGCUAAUUACUCAUGGAGUCUAUAGUUUUGUUCGUCAUCCGGGAUAUACUGGUUUCUUCAUCUGGUCAGUUAGCACUCAGAUAAUGCUCUGUAAUCCCAUAUCGACAAUUGCAUUUGCAGUUGUUGUCUGGAGCUUCUUUGCAGACCGGAUACCAUACGAAGAGUUUUUCUUGAGACAGUUUUUUGGGUCUCAAUAUGAGGAAUAUGCUCAGCGAACUCCAUCCGGGAUUCCAUUUGUGAAGUGAAGACCUUAUAGAGCUUGAGGAACACUUGCAUUCAUUUUGCCAUUGCUAGUCUAAUGUGCAUCUACUCGAGGAAGCCAGAGGAAAACUGCAGUGCUGUUCUAUCAAGAUGAUUUGGAACUUAUUUAAAACUGCACUGAUCAACCAUAGGUAAGCUAUCUCUGUAUGUUAUGGCUUUGUGCUUGGUGCAAGCCUAUGUCAAUUGGUAUGUAUGCUUGUAUUGGAAUGCUUACGAUUGGUUUUUUGGAUUUGUCGAACAUCUAUCGGAUCUCAGACUCCAUUGUUGUAAGGUUUUUAAUGAUGCAAGCUCCAUAUGUUUGAAAA
rnacentral:misc_RNA from 1 species